rnacentral:sRNA from 1 species
CUUUGUACAUUUUCUUUAAAGUCAUAUUCUUUCUCUAAAACUUCAGCCCUAACUUUCUCUGCCUUCUCUUUAGCAAAUCUUGAAAUUUGAUCGGUGCAUUGUCAUUUAGGUGGUGAUUCUGCGUUCACGGAGUCGAGAGCUUCGACUUGAACCGAUCGGUUUCGCGUUCUAUAGCGGAUCCUGUUUGGUUCUCCGCUGUGUGGGGUCCUGUUUAAAGUAUUCUAGCAAGUUGUACUGCUCAACUUCUAGUUAUCGUGCCCACGGUAAACGCUGGGUAGCCAAGUGCGGAGCGGAUAACUGCUGAAAGCAUCUAAGUAGGAAACCCACCCCAAGAUGAGUGCUCUCCUAUUCCGACUUCCCCAGAGCCUCCGGUAGCACAGCCGAGACAGCGAUGGGUUCUCUGCCCCAGCGGGGAUGGAGCGAAAGAAGUUUUGAGAAUUCAAGAGAAGGUCACGGCGAGACGAGCUGUUUCUAAUUAAUGAUAGGUGUCAAGUGGAAGUGCAGUGAUGUAUGCAGCUGAGGCAUCCUAACAGACCGUUAGACUUGAACCUUGUUCCUACAUGAUCCGAUCAAUUCGAUCAGGCACUAGUCAUCCAUUUUCAUUGUUCAACUCUUUGACAACAUGAAAAAACCCAAAACGUUGAACUGGUACAUGUGGCAAUUAUGUUUGUAAGUGUCUCUGUUGAAAUUAAUCUGUUUUGGUUGAAAUUGUUCUGGUUAGAGGGUUUGGAGCAAGGGCUCUGUGAUAGCAUGUAUAUGGGCAGGUACUGUUUAAGGUUACUGUGAGGGGAAGGGUGAUAUAUAUAAUUGGGUAUUUGAUGUCUAGAACACUGUAGGACAGUUUUAAUAACUUAGAUAAUUAAAUCAUAACUUGUUAAAAGCCUUUCUUUGUUGGUAGGAUAGAGGGGACUUAAAAACCUGAGUUGGCACAUCCCUGAUCAUAGAGCAGCCCUGGCCUGGUCCAGUACGUUGUGACUAGUCAUAUGUGCUAGCGCCGAAGGUGAGUCUGAUGCGUUCAGACAUCUGAACCCUCUCCGAUGACCAAUUGGGG